CUGGCUCAGAUUGAACGCUGGCGGCAGGCCUAACACAUGCAAGUCGAACGGUAACAGGAGAAGCUUGCUUCUUGCUGACGAGUGGCGGACGGGUGAGUAAUGGUCUGGGAAACUGCCUGGAUGGAGGGGGGAUAACUACUGGAAACGGUAGCUAAUACCGCCAUAACGUCGCAAGGACCAAAGAGGGGGACCUUCGGGCCUCUUGCCAUCGGGAUGUGCCCGAGAAUGGGAUUAGCUUGUUGGUGGGGUAACGGCUCACCAAGGCGACGAUCCCUAGCUGGUCUGAGAGGAUGACCAGCCACACUGGAACUCGAGACACGGUCCAGACUCCUACGGGAGGCAGCAGUGGGGAAUAUUGCACAAUGGGGCGCAAGCCUGAGUGCAGCCAUGCCGCGUGUAUGAAGAAGGCCUUCGGGUUGUAAAGUACUUUCAGCGGGGAGGAAGGGAGUAAAGUUAACGUACCUUUGCUCAUUGACGUUACCCGCAGAAGAAGCACCGGCUAACUCCGUGCCAGCAGCUGC
rnacentral:rRNA from 1 species